AGGAAUUGGCAGGCAGCCAUUUUGUUCGCAAAUUUACAUAAAUGCCAAAUGGUGUCUGUUUCCUGUAGGUCUUCUAGAAUUCUCUGUAAGCAGAGCUCCGUGUGUGUGUGUGUUUGUUUGUGUGUGUGUGAG